rnacentral:rRNA from 1 species
GACGAACGCUGGCGGCGUGCCUAAUACAUGCAAGUCGAACGCAGUGGGGACGGGUGAGUAACACGUGGGUAACCUCCCAUCAGAGGGGAUAACACUUGGAAACAGGUGCUAAACCGAUACUGAUGGAUGGACCCGCGGGGCAUUAGCUAGUUGGUGAGGUAACGGCUCACCAAGGCCACGAUGAAUAGCGGGCCUGAGAGGAUGACCGGCCACACUGGGACUGAGACACGGCCCAGACUCCUACGGGAGGCAGCAGUGGGGAAUCUUGCGCAAUGGACGAAAGUCUGACGGAGCAACGCCGCGUGAGUGAAGAAGGUUUUCGGGUCGUAAAACACUGUUGUUAGAGAGGCGUUAUCUAACCAGAAAGCCACGGCUAACUACGUGCCAGCAGCCGCGGUAAUAC